GCCAGGCAUGGUAGCUCAUGCCUGUAGCCCCAGUUACUAGGGAGGCUGAGGUGGGAGGAUCACUUGAGCCCAGGAGUUCAAGGCUGCAGUGAGCUAUGAUUGCACCACUGCACUCCAGCCUGGGCGACAGAGCCAGACCCCAUCUCCA
rnacentral:SRP_RNA from 1 species